rnacentral:tRNA from 1 species
GAGGGUAUAGUUCAGUGGUAGAGUGAGCACUUAGCGUGCAGGAGGUCCUGGGUUCAAUCCCCAGUACCGCCA